rnacentral:tRNA from 2 species
CAUAAGCCUUGUGGUGUAUUCACAUUAGAUUGCAAAUCUUAAGAAGCAGGCUGAUCGCCUGCCGGGGCUUU